GCUCCCGUACCCCAAUGGCAGAGGGGAUCGGCUAAGAACCGAUUCAGUGAGGGUUCAACUCCCUCCGGGAGUA
rnacentral:tRNA from 1 species